AUUGAACGCUGGCGGCAGGCCUAACACAUGCAAGUCGAGCGGAUGAAGGGAGCUUGCUCCUGGAUUCAGCGGCGGACGGGUGAGUAAUGCCUAGGAAUCUGCCUGGUAGUGGGGGAUAACGUCCGGAAACGGGCGCUAAUACCGCAUACGUCCUGAGGGAGAAAGUGGGGGAUCUUCGGACCUCACGCUAUCAGAUGAGCCUAGGUCGGAUUAGCUAGUUGGUGGGGUAAAGGCCUACCAAGGCGACGAUCCGUAACUGGUCUGAGAGGAUGAUCAGUCACACUGGAACAGAGACACGGUCCAGACUCCUACGGGAGGCAGCAGUGGGGAAUAUUGGACAAUGGGCGAAAGCCUGAUCCAGCCAUGCCGCGUGUGUGAAGAAGGUCUUCGGAUUGUAAAGCACUUUAAGUUGGGAGGAAGGGCAGUAAGUUAAUACCUUGCUGUUUUGACGUUACCAACAGAAUAAGCACCGGCUAACUACGUG
rnacentral:rRNA from 1 species